AGCGAAACGGGAAGAGCCCAAACCAACAAGCUUGCUUGUUGGGGUUGUAGGACACUCUAUACGGAGUUACAAAGGACGACAUUAGACGAAUCAUCUGGAAAGAUGAAUCAAAGAAGGUAAUAAUCCUGUAGUCGAAAAUGUUGUCUCUCUUGAGUGGAUCCUGAGUACGACGGAGCACGUGAAAUUCCGUCGGAAUCUGGGAGGACCAUCUCCUAAGGCUAAAUACUCUCUAGUGACCGAUAGUGAACCAGUACCGUGAGGGAAAGGUGAAAAGCACCCCGGAAGGGGAGUGAAAUAGAACCUGAAACCGUGUGCUUACAAGUAGUCAGAGCCCGUUAAUGGGUGAUGGCGUGCCUUUUGUAGAAUGAACCGGCGAGUUACGAUUUGAUGCAAGGUUAAGCAGUAAAUGUGGAGCCGUAGCGAAAGCGAGUCUGAAUAGGGCGUUUAGUAUUUGGUCGUAGACCCGAAACCAGGUGAUCUACCCUUGGUCAGGUUGAAGUUCAGGUAACACUGAAUGGAGGACCGAACCGACUUACGUUGAAAAGUGAGCGGAUGAACUGAGGGUAGCGGAGAAAUUCCAAUCGAACCUGGAGAUAGCUGGUUCUCUCCGAAAUAGCUUUAGGGCUAGCCUCAAGUGAUGAUUAUUGGAGGUAGAGCACUGUUUGGACGAGGGGCCCCUCUCGGGUUACCGAAUUCAGACAAACUCCGAAUGCCAAUUAAUUUAACUUGGGAGUCAGAACAUGGGUGAUAAGGUCCGUGUUCGAAAGGGAAACAGCCCAGACCACCAGCUAAGGUCCCAAAAUAUAUGUUAAGUGGAAAAGGAUGUGGCGUUGCCCAGACAACUAGGAUGUUGGCUUAGAAGCAGCCAUCAUUUAAAGAGUGCGUAAUAGCUCACUAGUCGAGUGACACUGCGCCGAAAAUGUACCGGGGCUAAACAUAUUACCGAAGCUGUGGAUUGUCCUUUGGACAAUGGUAGGAGAGCGUUCUAAGGGCGUUGAAGCAUGAUCGUAAGGACAUGUGGAGCGCUUAGAAGUGAGAAUGCCGGUGUGAGUAGCGAAAGACGGGUGAGAAUCCCGUCCACCGAUUGACUAAGGUUUCCAGAGGAAGGCUCGUCCGCUCUGGGUUAGUCGGGUCCUAAGCUGAGGCCGACAGGCGUAGGCGAUGGAUAACAGGUUGAUAUUCCUGUACCACCUAUAAUCGUUUUAAUCGAUGGGGGGACGCAGUAGGAUAGGCGAAGCGUACGAUUGGAUUGCACGUCUAAGCAGUAAGGCUGAGUAUUAGGCAAAUCCGGUACUCGUUAAGGCUGAGCUGUGAUGGGGAGAAGACAUUGUGUCUUCGAGUCGUUGAUUUCACACUGCCGAGAAAAGCCUCUAGAUAGAAAAUAGGUGCCCGUACCGCAAACCGACACAGGUAGUCAAGAUGAGAAUUCUAAGGUGAGCGAGCGAACUCUCGUUAAGGAACUCGGCAAAAUGACCCCGUAACUUCGGGAGAAGGGGUGCUCUUUAGGGUUAACGCCCAGAAGAGCCGCAGUGAAUAGGCCCAAGCGACUGUUUAUCAAAAACACAGGUCUCUGCUAAACCGUAAGGUGAUGUAUAGGGGCUGACGCCUGCCCGGUGCUGGAAGGUUAAGAGGAGUGGUUAGCUUCUGCGAAGCUACGAAUCGAAGCCCCAGUAAACGGCGGCCGUAACUAUAACGGUCCUAAGGUAGCGAAAUUCCUUGUCGGGUAAGUUCCGACCCGCACGAAAGGCGUAACGAUUUGGGCACUGUCUCAACGAGAGACUCGGUGAAAUCAUAGUACCUGUGAAGAUGCAGGUUACCCGCGACAGGACGGAAAGACCCCGUGGAGCUUUACUGUAGCCUGAUAUUGAAAUUCGGCACAGCUUGUACAGGAUAGGUAGGAGCCUUUGAAACGUGAGCGCUAGCUUACGUGGAGGCGCUGGUGGGAUACUACCCUAGCUGUGUU
rnacentral:rRNA from 1 species